rnacentral:rRNA from 1 species
AGUGAACGUUGGCGGCGUGGAUUAGGCAUGCAAGUCGAGCGAGAACCGUAGCAAUACGGGGACAGCGGCGAAAGGGACAGUAAUGUGUAGGUACCUACCCCGAGGUCUGGGAUAGCUGCGGGAAACUGCAGGUAAUACCGGAUAAUGUCUUCGGACUAAAGGUGUGAUUCCACCUUGUGAGGGGCCUGCAUCCGGUUAGCUAGUUGGCGGGGUAAUGGCCCACCGAGGCGACGAUGGGUAGCGGGUGUGAGAGCACGACCCGCGUCAUUGGCGCUGAGUCACUGCCCAGACACCUACGGGUGGCUGCAGUCGAGGAUCUUCGGCAAUGGGCGAAAGCCUGACCGAGCGACGCCGCGUGCGGGAUGAAGGCCUUCGGGUUGUAAACCGCUGUCGUAGAGGAGGAAGUGCAGGUGGGUUCUCCCAUCUGUUUGACCUAUUCUAGGAGGAAGUACGGGCUAAGUUCGUGCCAGCAGCCGCGGUAA